CUAAGGGUUCCGCACCGUGCAGGAGCGGGGAGCGCUCCUAAUGGAAGGUCAACAGAACAUGGCUUCAGAAUUGAGAGAACCAGCCUUUUACGGUAUUAUCAGGCCCGGUGCUCCAGAGAAGUGAUCUUCCCAGAGCCCCAACAAAACGGAGACACCACCUUAGCAGAAGGGAAGGACGCCUGUGGGUGCACCUUGUACAGCCAUUUGGCAAAAGAGAGCGAGAGAGAGCACAAGCCGGGGGAACUGCAGGCAGAGUUAGAGAAGCAGGCUCCCUGCUCAGGGAGCCCGAUGCGAUGCGGGACUCGAUACCAGGACUCUGGGAUCAUGACCUGAGUCGAAGGCAGAUGCUUAACUGAGCCACCCAGGCACCCCUUACCAGUUUACAUGAAAUAUUAGCUCUUCAAAUUAUGAACCUAGCCUAAACAAGAAAACAGGUAAAA